rnacentral:rRNA from 1 species
CCUACGGGAGGCAGCAGUGAGGAAUAUUGGUCAAUGGACGAAAGUCUGAACCAGCCAAGUAGCGUGCAGGAAGACGCCCUCUGGGCUGUAAACUGCUUUUAGUUGGGAAUAAAAAGAGGGACGUGUCCCUUAUUGUAUGUACCAUCAGAAAAAGGACCGGCUAAUUCCGUGCCAGCAGCC